rnacentral:rRNA from 1 species
UAACAAGGAUUCCCCUAGUAGCGGCGAGCGAAGCGGGAAGAGCUCAAAUUUAUAAUCUGGCGCUUUCGGCGUCCGUAGUUGUAAUCUCUAGAAGUGUUUUCCGCAUUGGACCGCACACAAGUCUGUUGGAAUACAGCGGCACAGUGGUGAGACCCCCGUACACGGUGCGGAUGCCCAAUGCUUUGUGAUACACUUUCAAAGAGUCGAGUUGUUUGGGAAUGCAGCUCAAAUUGGGUGGUAAAUUCCAUCUAAAGCUAAAUAUUGGCGAGAGACCGAUAGCGAACAAGUACCGUGAGGGAAAGAUGAAAAGCACUUUGGAAAGAGAGUUAACAGUACGUGAAAUUGUUGGAAGGGAAACGCUUGAAGUCAGACUUGCUUGCCGGGGCUUGCUCCGGUUCGCAGGCCAGCAUCAGUUUCCCGGGGUGGAAAAUCGCGGUUUGAAGGUAGCAGUUUCGGCUGUGUUAUAGCUUUCCGCUGGAUACACCUCUGGGGGACUGAGGAACGCAGUGCGCUUUUAGCGGGGGCUUCGGCCUCUUCGCACUUAGGAUGCUGGUGGAAUGGCUUUAAACGACCCGUCUUG